UACGUAGGGUGCAAGCGUUGUCCGGAAUUAUUGGGCGUAAAGAGCUCGUAGGCGGUUUGUUGCGUCUAUCGUGAAAACCUGCAGCUUAACUGUGGGCUUGCGGUGGAUACGGGCAGACUUGAGUUCGGUAGGGGAGACUGGAAUUCCUGGUGUAGCGGUGAAAUGCGCAGAUAUCAGGAGGAACACCCGUGGCGAAGGCGGCUCUCUGGGACGGUACUGACGCUGAGACGCGAAAGCGUGGGGAGCGAACAGG
rnacentral:rRNA from 1 species